AGAUAUUUAAAGAUAUAAUUAAAACUAAGAUACAAAAUUAAAUAAUAAGCAUAAAUACGUCAAAUAAAUACAUUAAAUCCAUUUGAUGAUCUAAGCUCAAGAGCUCAAGUUCGUGAAAUGAAUAGAUAUUUAAAGAUUUAAUUAAAACUAAAAUACAUAAUUAAGUGUUGAUUUGCUUUGCUUCAUUUCAAAUAAACCUUGUCUACUUUAUGAUCUAAGCUCAGGAACUCAAGAAUGCCUAAAGAAAGGAAGUUUCACCUGAGAAAAUUGAGUGGCUAGAGAAAGUUUAGAAAACUGAAUGAAUAAAGUCAGCACUCUCUGCUCAAAAAAAACCUCCAGCUGCUGCCUUACCUGAAGACUGCCCAAAAAAAGCAUCCAGAUACUGCCUUACGAGAAUAACGGCCGUUAAUAGUUGGUAAUGGCCGUUACUGUUAUAUAAUGGCUGUGACGCAUCAAAUUCAAAAAUGCUGUUAUUUCAAGGGUGUAAUGGUAACAGUGGGCUAAAAUACCUGUAAAUGAUAGCCAUUUUUUAAAACCAUGGUCUCAACUAUAAGUUUGAACUUUCAGUUUGAUGGUUCUUUAAUUAUUAUUGUUUAACAUCUGAGAUUUGAUUAAUUAUUAGUGUGCAUUGGUUUUGAUCCUAGGUAUACAAAAUCAAUUCGAAUGUUUUAUAGUAAUGCAUGCAUUACACACAAAGAGAUGAAUAGACAGAAUAUACUAACCUAUAAAUACUAUCUUAAAAUAAGCUUUUUUUUGAAAGUGGAAUUUUGUUUUCUGCACUUUAAGUGAAUGUAUGGAAGGUAGGUCCAUACUCCUUAACCAUGGGAUAAUGGUGCUAAAAUGAGCCAAAAGGUCACAUCACAUUGUGGACUUCAAUACUUUGAAGCAUAAUUGAAGCCGUAGAAGGCAAGAUGGAGGGAACAAAAACAUGGCAUUCAAUGUCCCAUUCCCAAUCCAUAGUUUCCUUGUAGAAAAAAAGGAAAUUUUCUUUUGCAAAUGAUGGAUUUUUUUUUUUAAAAUCUGGCAAGCGUGGGGAAUAUUCUGUCAUUUUAUGUUAUCAGUUUGCCGGAUUUUCAUUUUACAUAUCCUUAUUGUUAGAAAAUAGAUUCUUUAUGAACAUUUACUUUCUUUUUUUCAUUUUUAGUUGCUCAUGCGAACAUUUUUCUUUUAAAUCUUUAGUACUUUGCUCAUUUGCUUUUAUGUGCUACUUUGGAUUUACACUUCAUGGGUAUAUUUUUGAGCUUAACUUCCCUAUUUCAACUUUUUGAGUUUAAUUGAUUUAAUGGAUUCCAUUCCACUGUUUCUUUUGCAAUGAGUGC
rnacentral:misc_RNA from 1 species